GAUGAACGCUAGCGGCAGGCUUAAUACAUGCAAGUCGAGGGACAGCACAGGUAGCAAUACUGGGUGGUAACCGGCAAACGGGUGCGGAACACGUACACAACCUUCCUUUAAGUGGGGGAUAGCCCAGAGAAAUUUGGAUUAAUACCCCGUAAUAUAGUUGAAUGGCAUCAUUUGAUUAUUAUAGCUACGGCGCUUAAUGAUGGGUGUGCGGCUGAUUAGCUAGUUGGCGGGGUAACGGCCCACCAAGUCUACGAUCAGUAGAUGAUGUGAGAAGAGCAUCGGCCACACGGGCACUGAGACGCGGGCCCGACUCCUACGGGAGGCACCAGUAAGGAAGAUUCGUCAAUGGACGCAAGUCUGAACCAGCCAUGCCGCGUGAAGGAUUAAGGUCCUCUGGAUUGUAAACUUCUUUUAUUUGGGACGAAAAAGGGCCUUUCUAGGUCAACUGACGGUACCAGAUGAAUAAGCACCGGCUAACUCCGUGCCAGCCGCCGCCGUAAGAC
rnacentral:rRNA from 1 species